rnacentral:tRNA from 1 species
GGGAUUGUGGCUCAGUGGUAGAGUGCUCGUCUAGCAUGUGUGAGGCCCUGGGUUCAAUCCUCAGUACCA